ensembl:miRNA
CAGUUCUGGGGUCUCAGGAGGCAGCGCUCUCAGGAAGUCUUCACCAUGGCCCGGACUCUGCUCCUCCUCACCCUCCUCAGUCACGGCACAGGUGAU